rnacentral:rRNA from 1 species
UACGUAGGGUGCAAGCGUUACUCGGAAUUACUGGGCGUAAAGCGUGCGCAGGCGGUUUUGGAAGUCUGGCGUGAAAUCCCCGGGCUCAACCUGGGAAUUGCGAUGGAGACUGCAAGGCUAGAGUCUGGCAGAGGGGGGUAGAAUUCCACGUGUAGCAGUGAAAUGCGUAGAGAUGUGGAGGAACACCGAUGGCGAAGGCAGCCCCCUGGGUCAAGAUUGACGCUCAUGCACGAAAGCGUGGGGAGCAAACAGG